rnacentral:tRNA from 1 species
UCUAAAUGUGGCAGAGUGCAAUGCUUGGGGUUUAAGACUCCACCACGGUCAUACCCUUUAGAA